ACAGUUCACAUUCAACAGUGCUACAAUUAUAUUUACUAAUAUCUUACCCUCUCCAUUGUGCCAGAAAAUAGAAGAGAGACAUUGAGAGUGAGAGAAGGGAAGAUGAGCUUCUUGAAGAUAUACAAGUUUUUGUUACAUGGGGUGUUGAAGCUAGCUGGGAUAAGGCCCCACACCAUAGAGAUCGAGCCAGGGACGAUUAUGAACUUUUGGGUCCCAACUGAAACCAUUAACAACACCAACACGAAAAGAAAAAAGCCUGCCGUAGUUUUCCUCCAUGGCUUUGGCUUUGAUGGUAUUCUAACAUGGCAAUUUCAGGCGUUAGCUUUGGCCAAAGAGUACUCCGUUUACGUCCCGGAUUUCCUCUUCUUCGGUGGUUCCAUCACCGACAAGACGGAGAGGUCGGUGGAGUUUCAAGCCGAGUACAUGGCCAAGGGUUUGAGAAAGCUGGGUGUGGAGAAAUGUACCCUGGUGGGGUUGAGUUAUGGAGGAAUGGUUGGUUUCAAGAUGGCGGAGAUGUACCCUGACUUGGUUGAGUCCAUGGUGGUGACCUGCUCGGUUAUGGCCUUGACUGAGUCGAUCAGCAAUGCUGGACUUGAGCGAAUUGGGUUCCCAAGCUGGGCAGAUUUUUUGCUUCCAGUGUCAGUUAAGGGCGUUGAGACCCUCCUUCAAGUUGCUACUUACAGUUUCCCAAAGUUGCCUAAUUGGAUUUACAAAGACAUUUUGGAGGGGAUCUUUAUUUACAGAAAGGAGAAAGUGGAACUCCUUGAGGCUUUGGUCAUUAGUGACAAGGAAUUUACCAUUCCUUGUUACCACCAGAGUAUAUAUCUUUUGUGGGGGCAGAAUGACGAGAUUUUUGACUUGGACACCGCCCGCAACUUGAAACAGCAAAUCGGAGAAAAAGCAAGUCUAGAAUACAUAGAGAAAUCAGGUCACCUCGUUCAAUUGGAGCGACCAUUCGUGUACAACAGCCACCUCAAGAAAAUUCUUGCUUCCAUUUGGUCAAAAGAGAGAAGUCAUGCCAUCGAUGCAUUUCCGCAGCCGAAAAAGGAGUGAUCACCUAGUCUUCGGAAUUGAAUUUUAUCUUGUUCACAUAUAGGCCAAAUCAGCCACAAUGACAGUUUCUACGGGUACCCUAGGUUUCCGCUGUCGGUAGGCAUGAUGCUUUUAUGGUAUAUUUGCCCUGUUUUUCUAUGCAAUUCUUAAUUUCUGGGUAUUCUGUAUCGAUGAUUCUGCGUUUGUACUUUGAAUGAGUCUACGAGACACAUACGUUCUGGGAGUUUCUUCUGCUCGAACCCAGCUCUGUCAAAAACCCAUUUAAACUCAACAUGUCCGGAAGCGAUUCUACCACGUGGCCCUCCAACUGGCUACAAACAGGAGUGUUCAUACUUGGCUGAUCUGAGUUAGUUUGCAGUUCGAAGAAUGAAAAAUUUGACUGAUUUGGAUUGAAAUAAUUGGGUCUUGGACUAUGAAUCUGAUAGCAAUUAAUAAGGUUGCAAAGAUUUAUCGAUUUUGAAUUUUUUUUUUUGGCUUUAAACCAAAUAGUGAACAC